rnacentral:rRNA from 1 species
UACGAAGGGGGCUAGCGUUGCUCGGAAUCACUGGGCGUAAAGGGUGCGUAGGCGGGUCGCUAAGUCGGAGGUGAAAUCCUGGAGCUCAACUCCAGAACUGCCUUCGAUACUGGCGACCUUCGAGUCCGGGAGAGGUGAGUGGAACUCCGAGUGUAGAGGUGAAAUUCGUAGAUAUUCGGAAGAACACCAGUGGCGAAGGCGGCCCACUGGCCCGGUACUGACGCUGAGGUGCGAAAGCGUGGGGAGCAAACAGG